AAGUGCAACGAGACAGCCAAGUCCUAUUGUGUCAAUGGAGGCGUCUGCUACUACAUCGAGGGCAUCAAUCAGCUCUCCUGCAAGACCCCAUUGUACAAAGAUGCCAUCCCUGGGUGCUGCCUGUGUCCCUUCAGCCCCUAGCCCCCACUCCAUGGGAUGAGGGGAUACCAGCAAGGACACCACUCUAGGGCAACUGGGCUGCACUGCUUAGAACUUGGUACCCAGAGCCACCACUUCCCCAUCUCAGCCUCCCCUGGUUCCAGCCAAGAUUCCUGGAACCAACUUCCCCGACACCCUUUGUCAGCCCUCGGGGGAGAGGGCAUCCCUGGUGGAGAUGCGGUCAGAACAGCAGGUCCUCAGAGCUGUGCUGGAGAAGGGCAGGGGGGUGGGGGGCAGGGCAGAGCCCAGAGGCCAUUCUGCGGGUGGACGAGCUGGGAGGGAAGGGGGGCAGGCCUCUUGGGGUUCCUGAUGACACCUGAAUGGAAUAAAAAGGAAAGAACUUAGGAAA
rnacentral:sRNA from 1 species